rnacentral:rRNA from 1 species
GUAAUGCCUAGGAAUCUGCCUGGUAGUGGGGGAUAACGCUCGGAAACGGACGCUAAUACCGCAUACGUCCUACGGGAGAAAGCAGGGGACCUUCGGGCCUUGCGCUAUCAGAUGAGCCUAGGUCGGAUUAGCUAGUUGGUGAGGUAAUGGCUCACCAAGGCGACGAUCCGUAACUGGUCUGAGAGGAUGAUCAGUCACACUGGAACUGAGACACGGUCCAGACUCCUACGGGAGGCAGCAGUGGGGAAUAUUGGACAAUGGGCGAAAGCCUGAUCCAGCCAUGCCGCGUGUGUGAAGAAGGUCUUCGGAUUGUAAAGCACUUUAAGUUGGGAGGAAGGGCAGUUACCUAAUACGUAUCUGUUUUGACGUUACCGACAGAAUAAGCACCGGCUAACUCUGUGCCAGCAGCCGCGGUAAUACAGAGGGUGCAAGCGUUAAUCGGAAUUACUGGGCGUAAAGCGCGCGUAGGUGGUUUGUUAAGUUGGAUGUGAAAUCCCCGGGCUCAACCUGGGAACUGCAUUCAAAACUGACAAGCUAGAGUAUGGUAGAGGGUGGUGGAAUUUCCUGUGUAGCGGUGAAAUGCGUAGAUAUAGGAAGGAAC